rnacentral:rRNA from 1 species
GAUGAACGCUAGCGAUAGGCUUAACACAUGCAAGUCGAGGGGUAACAUAGGAGUAGCUUGCUGCUUCUGAUGACGACCGGCGGAUGGGUGAGUAACGCGUAUGCAACUUGCCUCUUAGUGGGGAAUAACCCGGAGAAAUCCGGACUAAUACCGCAUACACUUAGUUAUCCGCAUGGAUGAUUAAGGAAAGAUUUAUUGCUAAGAGAUAGGCAUGCGUUCCAUUAGUUAGUUGGUGAGGUUACGGCUCACCAAGGCAUCGAUGGAUAGGGGAGCUGAGAGGCUUAUCCCCCACAUUGGGACUGAGACGCGGCCCAAACUCCUACGGGAGGCAGCAGUGAGGAAUAUUGGUCAAUGGAGGAAACUCUGAACCAGCCAAGUCGCGUGAAGGAUGACUGUCCUAUGGAUUGUAAACUUCUUUAGUAGGCGAGUAAACGUAGGUACGAGUACCUACCUGCAAGUAGCCUAAGAAUAAGUAUCGGCUAACUCCGUGCCAGCCGCCGC